AGGUCUUUUAGUUUAUAAAAAAUGUUAAAUUGCAACUUUAAUGAAAGAUUCUUUCUAGAGACCUU
rnacentral:tRNA from 1 species